CACGAGCAAUCCAACAUUUUUACUGCCACCAGGAGGACAAGGAAGGGGCUUUGCUUUACAGCAUGAAGUACAUAACUGAAGUCAUGACUAAAUGAAAGGAACAGCACGCAUCUGUUUAUGGCAAUGGGUCAGAUCUUCACUACUCAGAUUGCCUACUCAUCUGUAGCUCAAAAGGAGCUAAGCAGGCAAUCCUCUCCUGCCUUUUGCCUCUUCAGUGCAUGCAGUCAGCCCUUCAAGAGAAGACAGAAAAAUUAGCACAGUGCUGCAGCACUCCUGGUAGGCUUCUGUCAACAGCAAAGGCAUCCUACACUGAACACAUACCCCAUCUUCCUAGCUCAGCCACAGCAGCCAAGCAGAGAGAGGACAAAACGCUGCACAUCUCUUGUUCAGAAACAUCUCCCUCAGCAGCUCCUGAGCAGUAGGAAGUUGUCCAGUGUUCACCAGCACUCAUGCAUCAGAAAAGAUGGCAUGGAGAUGCCUAUAUUCCUCCCAGUACAGCUGUUGGACCAUCACUUGAUUUAUACUGCACAUCAUCAUGCCCAGAUGGGAUGUGUCCAUCUCUCAGGCUGCAUGAGGACACCAAGACCCUUCAGGACCUAUGCACUGCUCCACCUCUGCAGAGUCCUUGGUCCCUCUGAAGCAUGGGCUGCAAUUGAAGAACAGUCAGGUGUGCAGAGCAGUCCCUUCAGAAGCCCCCAUGGGAUUUAGGACUUGGGAACCCCUGCUGCAAACAAAUGAAGGCUGAGGCUUGGGCCAUCUGAGUAGAGUUCUUAGAAGUCAGAUGUGCUGCAAAAGUCAUUUAGCAAUAACCCUGUGGCAAGUACAAAGGAAGAGCAUCUUAGCACUGAAUUAUUUUGGGGAGAAAGUACUUAAAAUUUGCACUAGAAACUUUUCCUUCUAGGAUGUUUUAAUCUUAGAGCAAUGCUAAUCUUAAGAUCUCAAGACAAGAAUACUGAUCUACUUUCAUUUUCUAUUUGAAAAACAUUGUUACUUGAAGAAAAACUUUCAGGCAUAAUUUUAAGUACUUAACAAUAUUGUGUUAAUGGUCAUUAUGAAGAAAGAUGCUCCAAAUACAUUGUGUAUUUUCGUCAGUGUCUGAUUCUCUGCUAGUGAUAAAGCUUUCUUAAUACAGCUUAGUAAUAUUGUGUAAAGGGAUUCAGGGGCACUUGACAGAAUACACAAAGUGUAUGGUUAUAUGUGAUGCGUAGUAUUGCACAGAAUUUUCCAAGCCUCAUAAAUGCUGUGACUCCUUUCUUCAAGAUUUACUUGUCUAGCAAUUUUGAAGCUGCCUUUAUCCCUGUGUAAUGGCUGCAGAAGUCUCUGCCAAAGAGGAAGGUGAAUAGGCUCUAGGAUCAGCUUGGACAAUUUACAUGACUUUCUAGUAUGUAUGGUGUGUUCUCCCAGGGUUUUCAGGGUGAUUGUGCCCAUUUAUUUUUCUCCAGUGAAAAUAUUCAUCUUUUGGAUGGAGAGAAACUCAGUGUUCAUGCAGCAGAAAUAAAUAGGCAGGCAAAGCUGUGUCUUGAUGAAGC
rnacentral:lncRNA from 1 species